rnacentral:lncRNA from 15 species
AAUGGAUGAGCUCCGAGUGCCAGACUGAACAAACACAGCAAAAAAACAAAAAAAAAAGGAACUGAAGGAUUACCGCUUUAAAGGAGGGUUACACCAACAAGACUUUUAACCUGGGAAGGAAUAUCGAUUGAUAAAUUCUGGACUUUUUUUAGACUAAAGGUUUGUCUGAUUUUGAUUUUUAACUUGUCUGGAGGACAAAUGUUUCUGUGACAGUUCGUCUGUUGACAACACAUGGACAAACUACCCACAAUGCUGUGCAAAGAAACAAUGGCAUCAUGCUUUUUAGGAGUCCACUUCCAUAAUGGAUUUAUGCAGUAAUUUUCCCUGCCCAGUUUCUCCCAGCUGGGAUUCUCACUGUCACAUGCUGCAUGUGACGGCACACAGGAUGACUAGUGUGGCAUUAGGAAUGUGCAUGUGGAGAAUUCAGACAUCAGUGUAUGUGUGUGUGUGCAUGAAAACACAUACCACACACUGCCUACCAAUUACAAAUGCAGCAGAGACACACGAAACUCCUGCUCAACACAUUUAUCUGAAAGCGCAGUUUCGGGGGGAGUUUACCGAAGAGAGGAAAGUAGAACGUGUGCUGAAGCAUUCAUUCGAUUUGAAAAUAUUCAUAUAAAAGGUAUGUUACACUGCUUUAU